rnacentral:rRNA from 1 species
AGAUCCGGUCUUUCUGUCGGUACGUCAACUCCAAGGUAUUAACUUACUGCCCUUCCUCCCAACUUAAAGUGCUUUACAAUCCGAAAACCUUCUUCACACACGCGGCAUGGCUGGAUCAGGCUUUCCCCCAUUGUCCAAUAUUCCCCACUGCUGCCUCCCGUAGAA